rnacentral:rRNA from 1 species
GACGAACGCUGGCGGCGUGCUUAACACAUGCAAGUCGAGCGGAAAGGCCACUUCGGUGGUACUCGAGCGGCGAACGGGUGAGUAACACGUGAGUAAUCUGCCCCUGGCUUUGGGAUAGCCACCGGAAACGGUGAUUAAUACCGGAUACGACCACUUCUCGCAUGGGAUGGUGGUGGAAAGUUUUUUCGGCCAGGGAUGUGCUCGCGGCCUAUCAGCUUGAUGGUGAGGUAAUGGCUCACCAUGGCUUCGACGGGUAGCCGGCCUGAGAGGGUAACCGGUCACACUGGGACUGAGACACGGCCCAGACUCCGACGGGAGGCAGCAGUGGGGAAUAUUGGACAAUGGGCGGAAGCCUGAUCCAGCAACGCCGCGUGAGGGAUGACGGCCUUCGGGUUGUAAACCUCUUUCAGCAGGGACGAAGCGCAAGUGACGGUACCUGCAGAAGAAGCACUGGCCAACUACGUGCCAGCCGCCGCCGUAA